CAAUAGCGUAUAUUAAAGUUGUUGCGGUUAAAAAGCUCGUAGUUGAAAAGUGACAGGUUGCGUCUCCUCCGGCCACGCGAAGGCAUUGGUAGCAGCGCCCUGCUCUCAUUAUACAUGACACGCGGAUACUGCACAUGCGUGUGUAUGUGUCGAGCGUGCUCUUGUAUGGGAGUUAGGCAGUUACUUCAAUGCUGUGUCUGUGUGCGAGCCCGCCUGUGUAGCACGAUUCACGCGUGAUUACUUGAUUGUAUUGCGCGGGUCUUGUGCCUGUUACUUUGAGGAAAUUAGAGUGUUCCAAGCAAUCAUCUGUUGUGCAUAUAGUAGCAUGGAAUAACAUUUUAUAACUUCAGUCUUGUUUGUUGGUUUACAGUGUUGAAGUGAUGAUGAAUAGAAACUAAUGGGGGCACUCGUACUUGACAGUCAGAGGUGGAAUUCUUGGAUUUGUCAAAGACGAACAACUGCGAAAGCAUUUGCCACGGAUGUUUUCAUUGA
rnacentral:rRNA from 1 species